rnacentral:rRNA from 1 species
AAACUUGAGAGUUUGAUCCUGGCUCAGGACGAACGCUGGCAGCGUGGAUAAGGCAUGCAAGUCGAGCGGGUUUAGACCCGCGGCAAACUGGUUAGUAACACGUAGGGAAUUUGCCCGAAAGUGGGGAAUAAUCCACCGAAAGGUGGGGUAAUACCCCAUGUGCUGGCGCAUGAUGUUUGUUCUUGAAUUCGAAAUUAAUAUGGGUGGGUCCUCCCGACUGCACUCCUGUAGAAGUGCGGGAAUGAGGGUAGCCCAUCCGCCAAACAACUAUGGGUGGAG